rnacentral:rRNA from 1 species
UAUUCCCCACUGCUGCCUCCCGUAGGAGUUUGGGCCGUGUCUCAGUCCCAAUGUGGCCGUUCACCCUCUCAGGCCGGCUACUGAUCGUCGGUUUGGUAGGCCGUUACCCUGCCAACUGCCUAAUCAGACGCGGGACCAUCCUGUUCCACCGGAGUUUUUCACACUGCACCAUGCGGUGCUGUGCGCUUAUGCGGUAUUAACAGUCGUUUCCAACUGGUAUCCCCCGGAACAGGGCAGGUUUCCCACGCGUUACUCACCCGUCCGCCACUCAGUACAAGAUCUUCCGUCCGAAAACUUCCGUCCUUAUACCUCGUUCGACUUGCAUGUGUUAAGCACGCCGCCAGCGUUCAUCCUGAGCCAA